GAAAUUGGCUGUCUUUGGGUAUUUUGCCGCCUUCAUGGCACCAGUGAUGUGCUGUCUUCCUAAGGAAUAUGAAACAAGGGACGGGGAAUGCUGUUCGAUGUGCCACGAAGGAAUUCACACUAAUGUGAAGCAAAGACGUUAGAACACAAACCAUGACACCAGGCUGAACACACAUUUAUGCUAAAUCUGGGCUAGAGAGGCGUAGUCCCCUUCCAGUGGACCCCAUGGGACCUUAUUUUGGAAAAAAGAUGUACAGUGGUCAACAGUGAGAGACAAGUAUUUAUGUUAUCCUUUUUGAAUUGCACCAUGAAUCUCACAUAUAUUUGUCAAUUUAAAAGAUAAUUUUGCAAGUCAAGAACGUCUCAGUUUGUCGUAGUAUCGUUUACUUUUGUGUGAAACUGUUCAGUGAACUACAUCUCUCGUCUCGCACAAUAUACUUAACCAACAUUAGCUAGCUAGCUAACUUGGCUAUGUUCCAUGCACAAAUGAAACUUUAGCCUACCUGAUGUGUUUUAUCCAGAGACUCCUGGUCUUUUAUCAACUGGGAAGAAAAAGAAGGAUCAGACCCGUUGCUGGUGUGAGUUCAUCCCAGUAGGAGA